CCUACGGGCGGCAGCAGUGGGGAAUAUUGGACAAUGGGGGGAACCCUGAUCCAGCCAUGCCGCGUGUGUGAAGAAGGCCCUCGGGUUGUAAAGCACUUUCAGUGAGGAAGAACGCCUGGUGGUUAAUACCCAUCAGGAAAGACAUCACUCACAGAAGAAGCACCGGCUAACUCCGUGCCAGCAGCCGCGGUAAUACGGAGGGUGCGAGCGUUAAUCGGAAUUACUGGGCGUAAAGCGCGCGUAGGUGGCUUGAUAAGCCGGUUGUGAAAGCCCCGGGCUCAACCUGGGAACGGCAUCCGGAACUGGCAAGCUAGAGUGUAGGAGAGGAAGGUAGAAUUCCCGGUGUAGCGGUGAAAUGCGUAGAGAUCGGGAGGAAUACCAGUGGCGAAGGCGGCCUUCUGGACUGAGACUGACACUGAGGUGCGAAAGCGUGGGGAGCAAACAGGAUUAGAUACCCCAGUAGUC
rnacentral:rRNA from 1 species